UACGUAGGGUCCGAGCGUUGUCCGGAAUUAUUGGGCGUAAGGGCUCGUAGGCGGUCUGUUGCGUCGGGAGUGAAAACUUACAGCUUAACUGUGAGCGUGCUUCCGAUACGGGCAGACUUGAGGUAUUCAGGGGAGAACGGAAUUCCUGGUGUAGCGGUGAAAUGCGCAGAUAUCAGGAGGAACACCGGUGGCGAAGGCGGUUCUCUGGGAAUAUCCUGACGCUGAGGAGCGAAAGUGUGGGGAGCGAACAGG
rnacentral:rRNA from 1 species